rnacentral:rRNA from 1 species
AGUGAACGCUGGCGAUAGGCCUAACACAUGCAAGUCGAACGGCAGCACAGUAAGAGCUUGCUCUUACGGGUGGCGAGUGGCGGACGGGUGAGGAAUACAUCGGAAUCUACUUUUUCGUGGGGGAUAACGUAGGGAAACUUACGCUAAUACCGCAUACGACCUACGGGUGAAAGCAGGGGAUCUUCGGACCUUGCGCGAUUGAAUGAGCCGAUGUCGGAUUAGCUAGUUGGCGGGGUAAAGGCCCACCAAGGCGACGAUCCGUAGCUGGUCUGAGAGGAUGAUCAGCCACACGGGAAGUGAGACACGGUCCAGACUCCUACGGGAGGCAGCAGUGGGGAAUAUUGGACAAUGGGCGCAAGCCUGAUCCAGCCAUACCGCGUGGGUGAAGAAGGCCUUCGGGUUGUAAAGCCCUUUUGUUGGGAAAGAAAAGCAGCAGGUUAAUACCCCGCUGUUCUGACGGUACCCAAAGAAUAAGCACCGGCUAACUUCGUG